GAAUGAAAAACCCAAGAACAAAAAUGUUGCACAAAAGAUUGAAGAUAUGGAAAAAAUUGAACGGAAUGGACAGAAUUCAACUAAUCUGAAAGAAGAUGUUGUUUCUAAAGUGCUUGGUGCUGAGAGGAAUGGCUAUGUAAGAACAUUUGGAAAAGGAGUCACACUAACAAGAUUAACUAUAUUAUCACAAAUGAAUGGUCAGUUUGUUGAAUUACGUGAAGAAAAUGCUCAGAUGAAGUCUCAAAUGUCAGAUAUGUGAAAUACAGUUGACGAGUUAAAGAAAAGCCAAGUUCAGAAUCUAGCAACAACAGAAGCAACACCAACUACACCCCUUGUUUCUCCCUCAGUAAAAAGUCAUCCACAGAGUAACAUUACCAAGUGCAAGUUGCUAGAUUGGAUGGGGACGGGAGACAUAGUUGCGGAGGGGCGUUGGACUUCAAGUGAUCCACAUUCCAGUGCUCAUUGUGUUCCGAUUGGACCUAAUGCAAUGAAAGUUUGGGUGGAUGUAGCAAAGAAACCUGAAGAGUUUUUGUGGAGGGUUCCAAGUGAUAUGACCAAUAUCGUAGAUGCUGUGGGAAGUACCAUCGCAUGGCCUGCUGACUUUGUUAUUCUGGACUCUUCUUCCCCAGGGUUUAUGGGUUGAUAAAGAAGUGAUGUUGUGACUUUUUGCUGAAGGUAUAGGUAUGAUCUUGCUAGUGUGUUGGUUGUCAUGAUCGCUUGGUUGAUUGAAGCCUUUUUGUUAAUACUUAUGGGAUGGAUAGAUUUUGGAAGGACUAUUUUGGUUGAAGCCUUUUUUUUAAUAUUUUGGUGCCAAGGUUUGAACUCCACUUUUGGGAUACAUAAAUGUUUUGGAAGGCCUUUUU